rnacentral:lncRNA from 1 species
AUCUAUCAAGAUUCGUUGCAAAAUUUUAAAAUUGCAUGCAUAGUACUGUCUACUCUUCCUUCAAUUGGUAUCAGAGCCUGAUUCAAUAUGAUAUGAUUUUAUAUAUAUUUAGAUCUGAUUUUAUGUUAUUUAGAUUAGUUAUAAAUAAGUUUUAUUUUCAGAUCUGAUAUUUGAUUAGCCCUGUAUAUGUUAGAUUAGAUGAUUUGAGUAGCAAAGUACUCAGAUUGGGUAAUACCAGGCCAUCUGAUCAUAGGAGCAAGUAGGAUUACA